rnacentral:rRNA from 1 species
AACGCGAAGAACCUUACCUACCCUUGACAUGUCACUAACGAAGUAGAGAUACAUUAGGUGCUCGUAAGAGAAAGUGAACACAGGUGCUGCAUGGCUGUCGUCAGCUCGUGUCGUGAGAUGUUGGGUUAAGUCCCGCAACGAGCGCAACCCUUGUCUUUAGUUGCUACGCAAGAGCACUCUAAAGAGACUGCCGGUGACAAACCGGAGGAAGGUGGGGAUGACGUCAAGUCCUCAUGGCCCUUAUGGGUAGGGCUUCACACGUCAUACAAUGGUGCAUACAGAGGGUUGCCAACCCGCGAGGGGGAGCUAAUCUCAGAAAAUGCAUCGUAGUCCGGAUCGUAGUCUGCAACUCGACUACGUGAAGCUGGAAUCGCUAGUAAUCGCGGAUCAGAAUGUCGCGGUGAAUACGUUCCCGGGUCUUGUACACACCG